GAAAUGCGAUAAGUAAUGUGAAUUGCAGAAUUCAGUGAAUCAUCGAAUCUUUGAACGCACCUUGCGCUCCUUGGUAUUCCUUGGAGCAUGCCUGUUUGAGUAUCAUGAAAUCUUCAAAGUAAAUCUUUUGUUAACUCAAUUGGUUUCUACUUUGGUAUUGGAGGUCUUUGCAGCUUCACACCUGCUCCUCUUUGUUCAUUAGCUGGAUCUCAGUGUUAUGCUUGGUUCCACUCGGCGUGAUAAGUUAUCUAUCGCUGAGGACACUGUAAAAGGUGGCCAAGGUAAAUGCAGAUGAACCGCUUCUAAUUGUCCAUUGACUUGGGCAAUACUUUUAUGAUCUGAUCUCAAAUCAGGUAGGACUACCCGCUGAACUUAAGC
rnacentral:misc_RNA from 1 species